UGGUAGUAUCUCAGGAUCCCGUCUUGUCCUGUUAAAUUUCUGGCUUCACCAUUUUCAUAACUGAAAAAAAGUCCGGUCAUGUCCAGUCAGUGGCUAGUUCACUUGAAACUUUUUUUCCCCCAACAGUCUUUGUGCUAAGCUAGGCAACAUGUAACAGAGCUGGCUAGGAUGUCGCACCUGCUAAUAGGAAAUCCAUCAUGAAGUUUUUGCAGUACCUCUGUUGGAGCAGACCACCCCCUGCGGGUUUUUGCAGAGCUCUUUGCUUUUCUUGUUGGCACGUCAUGUUCUGUGGAAAAGAUCUAGGAGACACCUGUCUCAGCACCUGGCUGAAACAGACCCUAGACGUCAGCUGGAGAGUCUAUUUGCCAAGCUUCUCUGAGGAGAUCUGCUGCUUCACUUACUGACCCAUCACUAACAACCAUACCCAAGUUGUUUAAAAUAUGUGGAGCCAUGUGCUGCAUAACCCCAAAGUCAUGUGAUAGACACAAACGUGGACAGCCAAACUUUUAGAGGACAAUACACAAAUAAAAGAACAGACAGCAGUGUUAUAACAUGUUUGAUUCCUCAU